UGGGGAAUAUUGGACAAUGGGGGGAACCCUGAUCCAGCCAUGCCGCGUGUGUGAAGAAGGCCUUAUGGUUGUAAAGCACUUUAAGCGAGGAGGAGGGUACUGGUAUUAAUACUACCAGCUACUGGACGUUACUCGCAGAAUAAGCACCGGCUAACUCUGUGCCAGCAGCCGCGGUAAUACAGAGGGUGCGAGCGUUAAUCGAAUUUACUGGGCGUAAAGCGUGCGUAGGCGGCUAAUUGAGUCGGAUGUGAAAUCCCCGAGCUUAACUUGGGAAUUGCAUUCGAUACUGGUUAGCUAGAGUGUGGGAGAGGAUGGUAGAAUUCCAGGUGUAGCGGUGAAAUGCGUAGAGAUCUGGAGGAAUACCGAUGGCGAAGGCAGCCAUCUGGCCUAACACUGACGCUGAGGUACGAAAGCAUGGGGAGCAAACAGG
rnacentral:rRNA from 1 species